rnacentral:rRNA from 1 species
GACGAACGCUGGCGGCGUGCUUAACACAUGCAAGUCGAACGGUGAAGCGCCUUCCUUUUUGGUGGGUGUGGAUGAGUGGCGAACGGGUGAGUAACACGUGAGUAACCUGCCCCCUUCUUCUGGAUAACCGCAUGAAAGUGUGGCUAAUACGGGAUAUUCUGGGUCUGUCGCAUGAUGGGUCUGGGAAAGAUAUUGUUUCGGUGGGGGAUGGGCUCGCGGCCUAUCAGCUUGUUGGUGGGGUGAUGGCCUACCAAGGCGGUGACGGGUAGCCGGCCUGAGAGGGUGGACGGUCACACUGGGACUGAGACACGGCCCAGACUCCUACGGGAGGCAGCAGUGGGGAAUAUGGCACAAUGGGCGCAAGCCUGAUGCAGCGACGCCGCGUGAGGGAUGGAGGCCUUCGGGUUGUGAACCUCUUUCGCCAGUGAAGCAGGCCUGCCUCGUUUGUGGGUGGGUUGACGGUAGCUGGAUAGGAAGCGCCGGCUAACUACGUG